AGUAACACGUGGGUGACCUGCCUUCGAGCGGGGGAUAACUGCCCGAAAGGGUGGCUAAUACCGCAGAUGUCGCUUCUUCGGUGAGGUGACUGAACCGAUUGAGGGUUCGGAGAGGGGCCCGCGGCCGAUUAGCUAGCUGGUGGGGGUAAUGGCCUACCAGGGCAUCGAUCGGUAGCUGGUCUGAGAGGAUGAUCAGCCAGACUGGGACUGCGAACGGCCCAG
rnacentral:rRNA from 1 species